UACGUAGGUGACCAGCGUUGUCCGGAUUUACUGGGCGUAAAGAGCGCGCAGGCGGUCGUUCAAGUCGAGUGUGAAAGCCCCCGGCUCAACUGGGGAGGGUCAUUCGAUACUGAUCGACUCGAAGGCAGGAGAGGGAAGUGGAAUUCCCGGUGUAGUGGUGAAAUGCGUAGAUAUGCGGAGGAACACCGAUGGCGAAGGCAAUCCCCUGGGCCUGCACUGACGCUCAUGCACGAAAGCGUGGGGAGCAAACAGG
rnacentral:rRNA from 1 species